rnacentral:misc_RNA from 1 species
GAACUUAGCAAGAAAGGAGUUUGUUGACAUGAGGAUCUUAGGCCAAAAUGAUUGAAUAAUCUUUUUCUGAAGGAUCUCAAAUCACUAUGGAUUUAUGCCAUAAUAACAGAUUGAAGCAGUAUAAUUAAUGUAAAUUACUUCUUUAACUACUUCUUGGAAUAUUUUACUGUAAAUGCAAGUUUGAGAUUGUGGGCAAAAUUGCAAUAUUAACCAGGGAUUGUUUUUGGGAGCGGUAGUGU